GACGAACGCUGGCGGCGUGCUUAACACAUGCAAGUCGAACGGAAAGGCCCUGCUCUUGUGGGGUGCUCGAUUGGCGAACGGGUGAGUAACACGUGAGUAACCUGCCCUUGACUUUGGGAUAACUUCAGGAAACUGGGGCUAAUACCGGAUAGGAGCUCCUGCUGCACGGUGGGGGUUGGAAAGUUUCGGCGGUUGGGGAUGGACUCGCGGCUUAUCAGCUUGUUGGUGGGGUAGUGGCUUACCAAGGCUUUGACGGGUAGCCGGCCUGAGAGGGUGACCGGCCACAUUGGGACUGAGGUACGGCCCAGACUGCUACGGGAGGCAGCGGUGGGGAGUAUUGCACAAUGGGCGGAAGCCUGAUGCAGCAACGCCGCGUGCGGGAUGACGGCCUUCGGGUUGUAAACCGCUUUCGCCGGUGACGAAGCGUGAGUGACGGUAAUGGGUAAAGAAGCACCGGCUAACUACGUG
rnacentral:rRNA from 1 species